UCCUCACUCUGACUCUGGUCUCCCGUGCUCUGCUCACCAAUCCAACCCACCAAAAUAGAGCUUGCUUCUCACCACCGGCGGCGGGAUGGGCGGCGGCGCGGCGGACGAGGGCCAGACCAGCGAGGACCCUCGCGUAGAUCCGGGCAUCCUCGACCAACGGCGCCGUUCCUCUCCUCGUCUGCUGCCGUCGCGAGAUGGCUUCCAGGAAAUGGCCUCGCUGCCGAUCCCCGACGAGCUCGUGGCGGAGAUCUUCCUCCGGCUGCCCACGCCAGGCGACGUCAUCCGCACCUCUGGCGCCUGCGUCUCCUUCCGUCGCCUCGUCGCCGGCCGCCCCUUCCUCCGGCGCUUCCGCAAGCUCCACGACCCUCCCCUCCUCGGCUUCCUCGCUCUAACCGGAGCCUUCUUCCCCGUACUCCCGCCUUCUCCUUCCGCGUCGGCAGCCAGCGCCGUCGCCCUCGCCGCCGACUUCUCCUUCUCCUUCCUACCCGGCCCCGCUCGGGACUGGAAGGUCCGGGACGCCCGCGGCGGCCGCGUCCUCCUCAGCAGAUCUCCCUUGGAUAAUUCUCUGGCGGUGUGCGACCCCUUGCACCGGCGGUACCGCCUGCUUCCCCUGAUCCCUGAAGUUGAGGGGUGGGUUCCUCAUUCAGUGGAAAACCCAUACCGGCAGUCCUUCCUCGGCGACGCGGAGGAGACCGCAGAAGAGACAUCAUUCACAGUGAUCUCCAUCGCGCAUUGGGGGGAUAAAGAUAAGCAGGGCGCUUUCGUCUUCUCUUCCAGCACCGGACAAUGGCGAGGCACUCCAUGGAUUGCAGGCUUUGCUUCAUUCUUCUGGUACCGGCACGCAUAUGGCUGCUUCUACGGGGUGACAGCAUGCAGGGAGAAGUUGCUGGUGCUUGACACCCAGAAAAUGGAGUUCUCACUUGCUGACCUCCCACCCCAAGCUUCAGGACAAAAUGUGGGUAUAGCCAUUGUGGAGGCAGGGGAAGGCAUCACUGGGAUGUUUGUGCUUGCACAUGGCACAUCUCAUAUCAGUUAUCUAAUUAGGCGAAACAAUGGUGGCAGUUCCAGCCAGUGGCAGUUUGAGAGGACAAUUCCACUGGUCUCUUCUUGGUACAGUUUCAUGGGUUCAACAGAGAGGCACUUGCUUCUUGUAUCACAGGGAGACACUUUCACGUUGGACAUCAAAACAUUCCAACUUGAGAAGGUGGUCAGACGUGGCAUCAGUUCGCCAUGUGUAUAUAGAAACUUCCCACCAUCGUUGUUGUCGUCACCGACAAUAUCAAAUGGUGUUGACACCGAGGAUGAUGAGGUGCUGGAAAAACGCCGCGUUGCAAGCUCAAGCCCAUAUUCUCCAGGGUUUGAAUAGCCCUGACACCAGUGCUGGAGGUCAGGGCUGAUUCGUCGAUUAUCAAGAUGGUGACGACCGAUGUGAUGCAAGUCGACAGUUAACCACUAAAUUGGUCUGCUUUUGCCCUUUGUUGAUUGAGCUAAUUCAGAGGCCAGUUCUAGUCCAAUGCCUUCAGUACCUUACUUCAGGGCGGGAAUGUGCUUUCCUGUUUCAGGAUUGCAGUGCGCUCUCCUUUCAGAGAGGAAAAAGAAAACAAUAUCCAAAUGAGGAAACUGCUUUAGAUGUCAGGAUAUCAGAACAGGGUGAAACUGCAGGUGCAGGAUGUAUUACCAACUUCAUGUCCUGGAAUGAAGUUGGUCUUGUUUGAGUCAGCUGGCCAGAAAAUACAUAGCCAGACAAGUAGGAAGCAGCCAGCCAGCAACAUACCAAGCUGGUCUGAGUGCAUUCUUUUCUCAGAAAGAACUUUUUUUUAUCUUUGUGCUCAUGGUUAGAUUGUUCAGCGG